rnacentral:rRNA from 1 species
AGUGAACGCUGGCGGUAGGCCUAACACAUGCAAGUCGAACGGCAGCACAGUAAGAGCUUGCUCUUACGGGUGGCGAGUGGCGGACGGGUGAGGAAUACAUCGGAAUCUACUUUUUCGUGGGGGAUAACGUAGGGAAACUUACGCUAAUACCGCAUACGACCUACGGGUGAAAGCAGGGGAUCUUCGGACCUUGCGCGAUUGAAUGAGCCGAUGUCGGAUUAGCUAGUUGGCGGGGUAAAGGCCCACCAAGGCGACGAUCCGUAGCUGGUCUGAGAGGAUGAUCAGCCACACUGGAACUGAGACACGGUCCAGACGCCUACGGGAGGCAGCAGUGGGGAAUAUUGGACAAUGGGCGCAAGCCUGAUCCAGCCAUACCGCGUGGGUGAAGAAGGCCUUCGGGUUGUAAAGCCCUUUUGUUGGGAAAGAAAAGCAGCAGGUUAAUACCCCGCUGUUCGGACGGUACCCAAAGAAUAAGCACCGGCUAACUUCGU